GAAGGGGGCUAGCGUUGUUCGGAAUUACUGGGCGUAAAGCGCGCGCAGGCGGUUCUUCAAGUCAGAGGUGAAAGCCCAGGGCUCAACCCUGGAAUGGCCUUUGAGACUAGAGAACUUGGGUACGGGAGAGGUGAGUGGAAUUCCGAGUGUAGGGGUGAAAUUCGUAGAUAUUCGGAAGAACACCAGUGGCGAAGGCGGCUCACUGGCCCGUUACCGACGCUCAGGCGCGACAGCGUGGGGAGCAAACAGGAUUAGAUACCCUGGUAGUCCACGCCGUAAACGAUGGAUGCUAGCCGUUGGUAAGCAUGCUUAUCAGUGGCGCAGCUAACGCAUUAAGCAUCCCGCCUGGGGAGUACGGCCGCAAGGUUG
rnacentral:rRNA from 1 species